CCUACGGGAGGCAGCAGUGAGGAAUAUUGGUCAAUGGUCGGGAGACUGAACCAGCCAAGCCGCGUGAGGGAUGAAGGUACAGAGUAUCGUAAACCUCUUUUGUCAGGGAACAAAGGCGGGGACGCGUCCCCGGAUGAGUGUACCUGAAGAAAAAGCAUCGGCUAACCCCGUGCCAGCAGCGGCGGAAAUCCGGGGGGUGCGAGGGUAGCCCGGAUUAAUUGGGUUAAAGGGGUGCGCAGGCGGUCUGUUAAGUCAGCGGUAAAAGCCCGGGGCUAAACCGCGCCCCGCCGUUGAAACUGGCAGUCUCGAGUUGGAGAGAGGUAUGCGGAAUGCGCGGUGUAGCGGUGAAAUGCGUAGAUAUCGGGCAGAACUCCGAUUGCGAAGGCAGCAUGCCGGCUCCACACUGACGCUGAGGCACGAAAGCGUGGGUAUCGAACAGGAUUAGAUACCCGGGUAGUC
rnacentral:rRNA from 1 species